rnacentral:lncRNA from 1 species
CCUGUCUGUGAUGUCAAGAUGGUCCCUAAUUAAGAAUCCAAGUGCGUUACGCCACUUAGGUAAGGCCUCUAGAGGAGCUAGGGGUUGUCCUGUCGGGCUCACAUCUGUAAUUCUAAAUGUGACUUUUGGAAACUGAUUCAAUCCUCUGUCACCUCGUUUCCUUUUUCUAUCAUCAGUCUUCUCGGUGGUCUUCUCGGUGGUUGUCUCCGUCGUCGGUUCGGGUGCACCUUCAUGUGUGAAUUCUUUCUGGAUAGGAUCUCUUUCAGCUCAUGAAACUGAGAUAACACCUCCUGUUCAUGUUAAAAGUUAAACACAUAAAUCAUUCUUGUACAUAUACUGAGGGACAUAAAAGUUAGAAACAUUUAAUUAUAGAUGAGUAAUUCAUCACCUCAUCUACUUCUGGAAUGUAAUCAGGGUCACGUUCUAAUUCACGACGAGCGUUCCUCUCUAUGCGAGGAUCUGGAAUGUCGCUAGGGGAGGUCUCGUACGAAGGACUUGAUUCACGUUCUUUUACAUUCUCUGUGUGGUCCGACCUUUGUGCUUGCUCAGUGUUGUGUGAUACUUGCACCUUCUCUCUGUGGUCCGAACCUUUUUCCGGUGCUUGGUCGAUGCGGUCAGACCCUGACGCUUGGUUUGGGG